rnacentral:rRNA from 1 species
UAGGGAAUCUUCCACAAUGGACGCAAGUCUGAUGGAGCAACGCCGCGUGAGUGAAGAAGGUCUUCGGAUCGUAAAACUCUGUUGUUAGAGAAGAACAUGAGUGAGAGUAACUGUUCAUUCGAUGACGGUAUCUAACCAGCAAGUCACGGCUAACUACGUGCCAG